rnacentral:lncRNA from 1 species
UUCUUUUGUAAAUUGCCCAGUCUUGGGUAUGUCUUUAUCAGCAGCAUGAAAAUGGACUAAUCCAGAAGGCAUGGAUAUGCAAACUUUCACUUUUGUUCUUUACUUGAGUGUCAGGAAAAUAUGAUGUUGUGGAUGGAUAGAAGACAAGAGAGAUGAAGAUUUGUGUCACCAUAGUAAAAAUUCUAGAAGGCUAUGGUGUCUCAUAUUGGUCUCAGAAUUCUAAAUCAAAUAAAGCACUAAAACAAAUGUAUUAAACACUCAGAAACCUAAAUUUUAGCUGCUUCCUAAGAUUGUGAACAGUGUUUUCUCAUGAUCUUCCUGAAAGCAAUUGACAAUGCGUUACAUUCAACUUGAAGAAAUAAGUAUUUUCUUCCCUUAAAAAAUUUACCAAUUUAAUUAUCAUCCAAGGUCUCGAACUCAUGAACUCAAGCCAUCUGCUCGCCUCAGCCUCCCAAAGUGCUGGGAUUACAGGUGUGAGCCACUGUGCCUGGCCUAUAGCAUGACUUUUAUACCUCUCAGAGUCCUCUCAUAGAGUUUAUCAAGCAUAGUAGGACUACAGCAGCUACCUAGGUUUGACGGGCUGAGGUUUGAGUUAGCCAUAGUCAACUGUCAUCUGAAAAUAGGUAAAUAUAGUACAAUAAGGUAUUUUGAGAGAGAAAAAGAGACCACGUUUAUAAAACAUUUGUGACAGUAAAUUGUUAUUGUUCUAUUUUAUGAUUAUUGAUGUUAAUGUCUUACUGAGCCUAAUUUAUAAAUUAAACUUUAUCAUAGGUAUGCAUGUAUAGAAAAAACAUAGUCUGUAUAAGAUUGGGUACCAUCCACAGUUUCAGGCCUUCACAUGGGAUCUUGGAAUGUAUCCCCCGUGGGAAUACAUUAUUCAAAAUUUAAACUUUCUCUAUUGAAUGACUUUGAGAAAUCUCUCUUUAUUUCUUCCAGAUUCCAUCAUGAAAGUUGAAAUUUCUAAAGUUUUUUAACUUCUUAUUGUUACUGGUGCAGAUCUACUUCAAAGAGUCAAAAUGAACAGUUCCCUUCCACAUUCUUCACCAAAUGAAAGCACUAAUUUUUCUCAAAGGGAUAAGCUACUAGUAAGAUUUAGACAUUGAAUACUUCAAGCUAGUUACAUAGUUGUUCAGCCUGUUGUUUGCUCAGCACAUUUUUUUCCUUUUCAAUCAAUUAAUAAACCUGACAGGGAAUAUAUAGUUAGCUGAAAAAUGUCUUCAGUUGAAAUUCUACAAGCCAUCUUGCUGCUUUGAGAAUGGGUCAGGAGGAUGCUGAAGCAUCAUAAUGUUAUGCACUUCUCUGGGUUGAUAUGUUAAGGCCCAGUAGUCAAAAUUGGUGAAGGAAAACUCAAGGUCACAGGGUUUAACGCUUGCUUUCCAGCUGAUUUCCAGUGUGACUCUUGGGGAUGCCAUUCAACUUCAGCUUCCUGCUUUAAUUCCUUGCUUUUUAAAUAUCAAGCUGCUGUGUCAAAAAACCAAAUAAUGAAUCAUACGGGAUUUGGCCUCACAGUUGAGGUCGAGUAGAGAGCUGAGUGACAGUUUGUUAUAAUUCAUACUUUUGAAUAAUAUUAAAACAAUGAUAUAUUUUUCAAAGUUAAAGGACAAGAGGACAAAAUUUAGGCAUGUUAUAACAAGGUAGUAUUUUAGUAGCUUGCUAAUGGUGAAAUUAUGGUUGCUUAAAAUAGUAAACAUACCUUCCAAAUUUCUAAAUGUUAUUUGAAAAGGAUUUUGCUUAAUAUGGCUCCUCAUGUUGUCGAUUUUGACUUUCAUUUACACAAACUACAUCCAAGUGACACAUUAAAGAACAACAUGUAAUGUGCAUCCAUUCUGGAGUUGAUCAAUGUGAGGAUAAGGGCAGAUGCUGCCACAGAGACUGUCAUUCCCACAGACAUUUAAAUAUAUUAGCACUUGGGGGCCAGGUGUGGUGGCUCACGCCUGUAAU